UAUUUAUUCCAUUUUACUUUCCACUUUGAUUUAUUUUUUUCUCCCUUUGUUUUUAUUAUUUUGUAAAUUUGUUGAACACAAACCCCCUUUAUUUUUGCCUCUAUAUUUUAAUGUUGACUUGUUUUAUUUCAUUUGGUUUAUUUUUGAUGGACUGUAUUGAAGUUAAGGACUAAUGAAAACCAUUUAAGUUAUGAUAUGUUUGAUUAGGGUUGAUUAAAACCUUACAUACUUCAAACCU
rnacentral:lncRNA from 1 species